rnacentral:rRNA from 1 species
GACGAACGCUGGCGGCGUGCUUAACACAUGCAAGUCGAACGGAAAGGCCCCUUCUGUGGUACUCGAGUGGCGAACGGGUGGGUAACACGUGCGUAACCUGCCCUUGACUUCGGGAUAACUUCAGGAAACUGGGGCUAAUACCGGAUAGGAAUCCUUGCUUCAUGGUGGGGGGUGGAAAGCUUCGGCGGUUGUGGGUGGAUUCGCGGCUGAUCGGCCGGUUGGUGGGGUAGUGGCUUACCAAGGCUUGGACGGGUAGCUGGCCGGGGAGGGCGCGCGGCCAGAUUGGGACGGAGAGAGGGGCCAGACUCCGACGGGAGGCAGGAGUGGGGAGUAUGGCACAGUGGGAGGAGGCGGGACGCAGCAACGCCGGGGGCGGGAUGACGGCCGGCGGGUGGUAAACCGAUGUCGCCGGGGACGAAGCGUGAGUGACGGGAAUGGGUAAAGAAGCACCGGCUAACUACGUG